ensembl:lncRNA
AUUUGCCUGUGAAUCCAUUUUUUCACCACCCAUUGUUUCCCCAAUGAAGUCUUCUCCUUCUCACUGAAAGGCUUCUGCGAUCUGAGCUUCCUGGUAGGUACAAAUCCUUCUGGGCAGAUAUUUGUAAUAAUGUCAUGAAGUGUAUAGUGUGCUUAGGGAAUGUGUUAGAUUUGUGCUCCAAAGGAUCUGAGGAAUGGCAGCUGCUUAUCCAGACAUCUCUCCCACCCCAUCAAGACAUCCGGGCUAUAUUUUAGUUAAGGAAGAAAAGGAGGCAGAAAAAAUGAAGUUCCAGAUAAAAGCCAAAACAAAACAAAGGAACAUUUCAGAGAACAUGUACCAUCUACAGACCAGAUUCACACUUCUCUGAUCACCACUCACUCCUCUUGACAAAUAAAAGGUUUUGGCACGUCAACAAAACCAUCAAAAGGAAGCAACUCAGGAUAUGGUAGACCUUCUGGGCUGCAAGUGCACAUUGCUUGCUCAUGUUGAGGUUUUCAUCAACGAACACCCCCAAAUCCUUCUCCUUAGGGCUGCUCUCAAGCCAUUCUCUGCCCAGCCUGUAUUUUUCUUGGCUGUGAAAUUUUGUGAGCAAAGUUGUCUCAAAGCUUCUCAGCAGGUAAAUGACAACUCAAUCUAGUCACCCCAGCAAUAAUAAGAAAAGAAGAGCUCUUCACCACACAGCCUCAUCAUCCUGGCUGCUGGAGCAGCCCAAAGCUCAUGCUGUGGCUGCCGAGCUGUUAUGCAGCACACUCAGCUCCAUUGUGUAUCCUCCUGCCAAGAGUCAGGAGUGUAAAAAGGGUACGUUAAUGCAGAUUUGAAGGCUUGGUUGGCCCUGUUCCUUCUUUCUCCUUGGAAAACCCCCAUUGCAUUCAAUCUUUGCAAUUUAGAACAAAGUUAAAUAAAGCUGAUCUUUUCAUACUAUAAAAUAUUAAGAACAGCUGCACACAUUCUGAAAAUGAAUCAAUUCUUUUUGCUUUAAUUUAGUAUUGCCUUACUGAAAAUGCCUCUGUCUAUAUUCAUUUACUUGAGAUAGACUUCAGGAGACAUAAAGUGGUGCUACUGAAGAUGUUUGUGAUAACUGUAAGCUAGCUAUAUAUUAGUUUUGCAGCACUGCUCUUUUGCGCAAUAACUUACAAGCUCAGGCUUAAUAAUACAGUCUCCAAAAUAAGCUCUUACAUGUGCUAGGAAUGCCUUAACAGUAACUGUGGCUCUCUUGAUGUGCAGCAGUGAUAUAAUAGUAAUCAUUUUUUAGAUAUUUCUUAUUGUCAAAAUGACUUUAAUCUCGAUUUAUUAGAUAGUUACUGGUUCCUAGAAAGACAAAAUGAUAUCAACAAACCAUUUGUCUUCCAUGCUGGCCUUUAUGGCUGCAGUAGAGAUGUCAGUGAAGCACACAGUUGUUUUUCCAUCCAGAUAUUACACUGAUGUGACAUUGUCUUCUGGUUGAGCUGUUGAGAUAGUUUGCUUCCCAGUACACCUUCAGUCUGGCUGUUGUCUUGCACAAACACUGGACAUUGAACCCAAGGUCUUGCUCAGACAGUUGGUGACUGUGGUAUCAGUCAUACCUGAGGUCUUGCUGAGGCAGAUAGCAACCACAAUACUGGCUGAAACUGGGUCCUUGGAGGAACUGACGGACAGCUGCCUUGCUCAACAGUUGAGGAUCAGUUGAGCAUAUGCUAGAAAAUAUGAUUAUAUGUCAAUCAUCUUGCCCUGUAAAUAUGAAACAGCUCAGAGUGCAUUGAGCUCCUUCCUGAAUGACAGUGGGCUGCAUGACAGGAUUGUCCCUUGAGUAAGGAUGCCUCUGAAGGUUAUGUCUGCUGCAGAGAUCCCUUACACCUUGAUGUCAAGAGAUUCCUUGCUGCCACUAAUCCUUGUCAUGUGACAGAAAAGGAGAGAAGAGAAAGCAAGCAAUUAUUCCUCUGAAAGCUUGCUCUUGACUGACCUGUUGAUGCUGCUUGCCUACACUCUGCAACAAGAUAGAGAGCUGAACUAGUCAUCAUGGAAAGCUCCAGUCUAAAGACAUAUAUAGGUCUUUUUCAAAAAUGUUAUAGCCAACAGUACUACAAUAACUAUUUUAUGUUAAAGUCUAUGUCUGAAAAUUUCUGCCCGUUUCCAGUACUAUUAAGUAGGAGUUAAUCUCUCUCCUCAGAUUUGAAAUCCAUGUGCGAAGAGACUCUUAUGAACUCCUCUAACUGAAGAGACAUUUUUUUUAUUAAUCAUAGAGUGACAUGGGUUGAAAAGGACCACAAUGGUCAUCUAGUUUCAAGAUAAAAACUGUUCGUAGAUAACGAGACCCCCCGUUUCCUUUUCAACCAUCUGGCUCGUCUCUGUUGCCGGUGCUGUAUCAUUCCAGCUGGAGUGGCGGCCCCUGCCUGCCUGCCUGCCUGCCUGCCUCAGCUGGCUGGCUGGAGUUGCAGUCCCUCCCUGUCUGCCUUGGCAGACUGGCUGGAGUCAAGGCCCCUGCCUGCCUGCCUGCCUCAGCUGGCUGACUGGAGUCCUAACCCUUGCCUGCCUGCCUCUGUUAGCUGGCUGUCUUGUAUCACAGUUAGUGUUCUGCUGUCAGGAUCCCUGUAUUUACAGCAGUUUUUUGGGAUCUGGCUUGUGAUAGCAUAAGGCCAUGGCACUGUGACCCUAGAAAUGGCCCAGGACAACAAAAACAUGGCUGUGUUGGGUGUGGGGAGGCUAUGGCCUGAGAUUUGCCCUACUUGUCACCAGUGGGAGUCUGCAGGGCUCCAUUUUAAGGCCAUUUCUUUUCAUGUUUAGACUGUCAAUUCCAAUAAAGAUCUGGAGGUUCUAUUAAGUUAAUUUUUGGAUGAUGCUAAGCUGGGCAGAGUGUUGACUCUAUUGAGGGCAGAGAGGCCUUGCACCAAAAUCUGGACAAAUUUGAGGAUGAUCCCCAUCUGCAUGAAGAAGAGCAGGUGCUGGGUUCUGCACCUGGGAUGGGGAGCCCCUGGCUGUAUGUACAGACUGGGGGCGUGGGUCUGGAGAGCAGCCCCACAAAGAGAUCUGGGUGUUCAGCUUGGUGACAACUUGAAUCUGAGCUGGCAGUGCAACCUGGCAGCCAGAAGGGCCAACCGUACCCUGGGUACAUCAAGUCUAGCACUGCUGGUGAAGGAAGUGGUUGUCCCACUCUGCUCUGUGCAGUGCAGCCGCACCACCAGCACUGGGUGCAGGUUUGGGUGCUGCUACAUAAGAAGGACAUAAAGCUAUUAGGAAGUCCACAGGAGGGCUGCAGAGAUGGGGAAGGCUCUGAGGGCGCAGUGUGUGAGGAGCGGCUGCAGCCCCCGGGUUUGCUCAGCCCAGAGCAGAGGAGCUGAGGGGAGGCCUCAUGGUGGCUGCAGCUCCUCACAGGGUGCGGAGGGGCAGCGCUGAGCUCUGCUCUCUGGGGACAGCAACAGG